UCCAGGGUAGCCUAGUGGACAUGGCAUCUGCCCGGUAAGCGGAACAUUGUGGGUUCGUUUCCCAUCCCUGGAC
rnacentral:tRNA from 1 species